rnacentral:rRNA from 1 species
GACGAACGCUGGCGGCGUGCUUAACACAUGCAAGUCGAACGGUAAGGCCCUUCGGGGUACACGAGUGGCGAACGGGUGAGUAACACGUGGGUGAUCUGCCCCGCACUUCGGGAUAAGCCUGGGAAACUGGGUCUAAUACCGGAUAGGACCACUGCCUGCAUGGGUGGUGGUGGAAAGCUUUUGCGGUGUGGGAUGGGCCCGCGGCCUAUCAGCUUGUUGGUGGGGUGAUGGCCUACCAAGGCGACGACGGGUAGCCGGCCUGAGAGGGUGACCGGACACACUGGGACUGAGAUACGGCCCAGACUCCUACGGGAGGCAGCAGUGGGGAAUAUUGCACAAUGGGCGCAAGCCUGAUGCAGCGACGCCGCGUGAGGGAUGGCGGCCUUCGGGUUGUAAACCUCUUUCAGCACCGACGAAGCGCAAGUGACGGUAGGUGCAGAAGAAGGACCGGCCAACUACGUGCCAGCCGCCGCAGUAA